UGGCUCUCUCUCCGCCCUGCCAGGCUGAGCAGCGCGUUAUGUCCCGGGUACACUCUCUGGAGCGGCGUCUGGAAGCUCUUGCUGCUGAAUUUUCCUCCAACUGGCAGAAGGAGGCCAUGCGUCUGGAACGUCUGGAGCUGCAGCAAGGGGCUCCUGGCCAGGGAGGCGGUGGUGGCCUGAGCCACGAGGACACCCUGGCGCUGCUGGAGGGGCUAGUGAGCCGCCGUGAAGCUGCCCUGAAGGAGGAUUUCCGCAGGGAAACUGCUGCUCACAUCCAGGAAGAACUGUCUGCCCUGAGAGCAGAGCAUCAGCAAGACUCAGAAGACCUCUUCAAGAAGAUCGUCCGGGCCUCCCAGGAGUCUGAGGCUCGCAUCCAGCAGCUGAAGUCAGAGUGGCAAAGCAUGACGCAGGAGUCCUUCCGGGAGAGCUCUGUGAAGGAGCUGAGGCGGCUAGAGGACCAACUGGCCGGCCUGCAGCAGGAGCUGGCGGCUCUGGCACUGAAGCAGAGCUCGGUGGCGGAUGAAGUGGGCCUGCUGCCCCA
rnacentral:sRNA from 1 species